GACGAGGGGUCCUAGCGUUGUUCGGAAUCACUGGGCGUAAAGCGUAUGUAGGCGGGCUUUUAAGUCAGGUGUGAAAUCCCAUGGCUCAACCAUGGAAUUGCAUUUGAAACUGGAAGUCUUGAGUGUGGGAGAGAUUGGUAGAAUACCUGGUGUAGUGGUGAAAUACGUAGAUAUCAGGUGGAAAUACCGGCGGCGAAGGCCGGCAAUGGCCAAACAUCGUCCGACC
rnacentral:rRNA from 1 species